UUAUUUCUCUUCUCUUGUAGGAACUCUGUUUGCUGAACUAAUCACAGCCAAGUGGCACCGACCGUGGGUGUGACUGAUGCCUGCACUUGGACCCUGAAGGACACGGGAUAAUUACAGGCACAUGACAGAUUGGGGGUGAUACAAAAAGGAGCAAGCUUGGGGAACACACUGACUUGUGACCAGUAAGUCCCCAAGAUCAUGGGACGCUCAGGACAUGUGAAGGUGCAGUACGUCCAUGGAACCAGACCACUCUGUGGGAAGAAGGACAGGUUGACUGGGGAAUGGACUGCCUGGCUCCAAGGACAGAGGACAGCAGCUGAAACUACAAAUGGACCUGUGUGGAUUCCAAGCAGAAAUAUCAGAUUCUCAUCUAGAAGAGCUACAGUCAUGCAUGCAGAAAAGGAGACUAACAAACCAAGUGGAGGAACACCAGCCCUGUCAUGCCUGAUGUUCAGUGACUGGCAGGACAGCCAACCAGAGAGAAAGGCAUGACAUCAGGGGCAGAGGACGCAGUCCUCUAGACUGGUGACAUGGGGUGCUCAUUAGGUGGACUAGCUCUAAGGCUCAAGAGAUCUCUGAAAAAGAGGGAUGGAACUCCCAGGACCCUGCCUGGCUUGCACUGGCUAGAACAUAUACCAGAGUUCUGUAGAAGGAGAGGAACUGUAAUUAGCUGUUCAUUGCAUAAGACUUCUGCAUAAGGAACAAGCACCUGGGAGCUUUGUAAAGGAAGCCAGUUAAAUUCAGCAUCUAACUGACAACUUAAAAGAGAAAUACAAUUCUAUUGAGUCUCUCUUACAGGAUUGUCUAGCAAAGUUUCCAAAGACACUCCUUGGAUAUUCUGAAUAAUUACCUCAAACUUUCAGUUUGAUGACCGCGUGUCUGGCGGUCUCCUUUAAUCGGGGAACAUGAAUGGUUAGGGUGUGUGUGUAGCUGGAGAACUUCUCUCCAGCUCCCGCCAAGUCCCGCCAGUCCCAGAGCCCACUUAUAAAAUAAACACACAGACUCUUACAUUAUUUAAACUGCUUGGCCGUUAGCUCAGGCCUAUCAUUGUCUAGCUCUUACUCUUAUAUUCAGCCCAUUUCUGUUAAUCUAUACUUUGCCACGUGGCUCGUGGCUUGUCGGUACCUUACAUCUUCCUUGUCCUUGCUAAAAGGAAGAACUGAAAGUCAGGUAAAGGACACAGCUGAUUGAAUUAGCACUCAGGUCCCAUACCAGCUGUGUGGUAGCUUAGGUACAAGGUUUUCCUGUUUACGGCAUCCUCCUACGUCAGUUCAGGAUACACUGAGGGCAGAAUGAUUGCUGCUUUUUGUUCUGUUGUUUGGAAGACAUCUAGGAUGUUGAGAAGACUCUAAGAUCCUCCACUGAGUGAGAGACUAUCCUGCUGUCAUGUGAGACAUGAGGAGCAAUUCAUCUUCCUCACAGAUGAGGAAGAGGUUGUCCUGGUCCGGCCUACACAGCCAGAGACAGAAGCAGCAGGCUUCUGCCACAUAUUAUUACCCCAUGCAUCCUUAUGUAAUGAAGGUAGUGUUGUACCCGUUUCUCGAAACCCCCAGAGACAACCAUGGAGCCGGUUUCCGAUGCAAGCACAUAAGGGUCCUUUUAUUCAGGUUCAACCUGGGCCAACGCAUGGCAGAUGGAAGGAAAUGUGGUGACAGCCACGAGCCCAGGUGUGGAGGGUUUUUAUAGGGAAAAACCACAAGCCGAGAAUUGGCAACUUGGGAUUGGGUAGAAGGGGCAAGGUGAUUUUUUAAAACUAUUGGUCUAGACUUUUGGCAGGGAACCACAACCCGCUGAACAGGAUUAUCUGGACUGCUCAGCAGGAUUAUCUAGAUAUCUCCAAGGGCCAUAAACCACAGACAGGAUCCUGUUAAGCUUUCCUUUCCUGUAUAAACAGCAGACAGGAUGUCUGCAGGAGGAUACUGCUCUGUAUCCGUUCCAGUUAUCAUGGCACAUCUCUGAGCCUGUAAAGUGAAGUCUAGUCCUUCACACUAGCAUGCAGUACACUGUGGUGGAACUGUGUCCCAUCCAAGGGAAAGAGCACUACUCGGGCCGCGGGGUGUCCUGCCAUGCAAGUGCAUUGAGAAUUUAACCCAUUUUACUCAAGCAUUCAAAUUUUCAUAACCAGUUAUUUUUUAACUGGUUAAAAAAUAAUUUUGAAUAUUAUUAUACAUCAAGCAAACUAUGUUUACUUUAACUUUGUUUUGAGUUACUUACUUUAGAUUUAAUGUUGACAGUGUAUGCAGAGGACUAUAUAAUGGGAGAUAUCAACUGGUCUUUCCCUCCAAGCUUGUCUCUGUAAAUGAAUUACAUUUGUACAGAGCAUGGGCUACACACAGUUCUAAGCACAUAAAAAAUUGACCAUUUCUAAGUGACUGAUCAUUAACUUUUGUGUAUUAGUUAUCUUUAACAGUUAAUAGCAAAUUGGUAAUUCUCCUAAGAUUAGUAUUUUUUUUUUAAAUUUUUAUCCCUGUUAAUGUUUCAAGCCUUAAAAAUUACAAUUUUGAAUUGAAACUCUUAAGUAGCAAAAUAAACUCUGUAUACAGUCUGUGGAGAGACUGGGAACCUCA